GGAGGAGGCUAGACGGCCGCCUUCCGGCUUUGUGCCGGGGGGAGGAAAGUCCGAACACCGCAGGACAGGACGCCCGCGAAAUGCGGGGCGCCGCGAGGCGACGGAAAGUGCCACAGAAAACAUACCGCCCGUCUACGGACGGGUAAGGGUGAAAAGGCGAGGUAAGAGCUCACCGCGGUCCUGGUGACAGGGCCGGCAGGGUAAACCCCGUCCGGUGCAAGACCAAAUAAGCGGGAAGUUCCCUUCGGGGACGUGAAGUGGUCCGCUUCAUUCGACCCGCGGGUAGGUCGCGCCAGAUAAAUGGCCGUCCGCGACAGAAUUCGGCUUAUCGGCCGCCUCCGGAU
rnacentral:RNase_P_RNA from 1 species